UGGAAUUGACUUAGGAGAAAACAUAUUAGAUCCUACACUGUCAUUUUUCUGAAAGUUAUCAGAUUUAGUUAUAGGAGCUACUGUAUUUUUGUAUCUCUGCUGUUAGUGUGUAGUAAAUACCCAACUUAGAGUAGGCUGAGUUUACGCUCGCGCUGAGGGGCCGAGCUUGUUGUACAGUAAGCGUUUGGACUGUCGGGUGCCGUCGGAAUUGACGGUGGACCCAGAUUUACGUUUCAUCGCUGUUAGUACGAGAUGGAUACUCGGAUGAGUGUAGGUUGAGUUUACGCUCGUGCUGAGGUGCCGAGUGUGUUGUUACAGUAGAGUUAGGUUGUGUUGGGCUGUCGGGAGCAGUUGAUGGUGGACCCAGAUUUCUGCAUUUUGCAUCAGGUUGUGCCAAGGGCACGUGAGUUGGGUG
rnacentral:lncRNA from 1 species